rnacentral:tRNA from 1 species
GUCCCUGUAGCCCAAUGGAAAGCGCGUUGGAUUUCCAAUCCAAAGGUCGUGGGUUCAAAUACCACCUGGGAUG